rnacentral:tRNA from 1 species
GGGUAAAGCUUAGUGGUAGAGUGUGUGCUUAGCAUGCAUGAGGUCCUGGGUUCAAUCCUCAGUACCUUCA